rnacentral:tRNA from 1 species
GCCCAGGUAGUAUAGCCAGGUCUAGUAUGCUUAUUGGCCUAGAUUGUACGGCUGUCACCCGUACGACGUGGGUUCAAAUCCCGCCCUGGGCG